GACGAACGCUGGCGGCGUGCCUAACACAUGCAAGUCGAACGGAAGUAGAGACUUCGGUUUUUACUUUAGUGGCGAACGGGUGAGUAACGCGUGAGGAACCUACCUUUCAGUGGGGGACAACAGUUGGAAACGACUGCUAAUACCGCAUGAUACUUUUUGGGGGCAUCCCUGGAAAGUCAAAGCUUUAUGUGCUGAAAGAUGGCUCGCGUCUGAUCAGAUAGUUGGUGGGGUCACGGCCUACCAGGUCGACGAUCAGUAGACGGACUGAGAGGUUGAACGGCCACAUUGGGACAGAGAUACGGCCCAGACUCCUACGGGAGGCAGCAGUGGGGAAUAUUGGGCAAUGGGGGAAACCCUGACCCAGCAGCGCCGCGUGAAGGAAGAAGGCUUUCGGGUUGUAAACUUCUUUUACCAGGGACGAACAAAGUGACGGUACCUGGAGAAAAAGCCACGGCUAACUACGUGCCAGCCGCCGCGGUAAGAC
rnacentral:rRNA from 1 species